AAUCGGAAACUAAUUGGCGACGUGUAAUAUACAAGAUGGUUGUCAGAUGUGAAGCAAAGCUGAUACAGAUGGAAAUGGAAGGUGGAGGUCGGGAGGGAACACUUGAUUGGAGCGAAGUUUCCCCCGAGAAAGCCAUAAAACUGAUUGAUGGCUCCCCCGGAGGAAUGUUUCCCCAGGUCAAAGUUCGUCAGCAAGUCUUGUCUCUACGCCUCCGCUGGUUGCCACAUCUCCCUUCCACACCUCCUUGAGACAUUCUGCACCAGAAAAAACAGUGAGCACAGAUGGAAGAGAAGGAACUUUUGACUCGGGGUGUGUCCGACCUCUUUCGCCUGCUCCGAGGACAUGCCUCUCGCACAGGUAGUCCUCCAGUUUCUGGUCUUGAUGGUGGAAGUACCACACCUCCACCACUUCCUCGUACCGCUCCAACAUGUUCUCGCACUGGAGAAGGAUGCCCAACAGCCCGAUGGGAAGUUACAAAGUUGGUAGUUCUUUGGGUUUAGGCUUUUUCUUUUGUGACUAACUCCAGUGAGUGAAGGUUAACCAAAUGACACUUUGGCACACAUUUUUUUGGACAUUCCUGCUCUAUUAAUUUGAUUUAUAAUAAAUUGUUAGAAUAUAUUUUGGGCACCUAACGUGUACUUUCCUAUACCUGUUUCUUCAUAUCCGUCACCUCCACGGAGGGCUCGUCCCACAGCUCGUACGGCAGGCCCAAUUCAACUUUCACACCUUUGUGGACCAGGUUCUUCAGUGUGCUCAUGGUCUGGCUGGAACCCUGCAGAACAUGAUGAGAAAGGCAUCUUGGGGAGAUGAGCACGUAGAAAUCAGGGUUCCAAUGUCCAGCACUUCUCCCACCUCCAGCACUUCCUUGGAGCGGCCGCUUCCCCGCAGGGCUUCCUGGAGCUCCACGGUAAGCAGUUUACACACUGGAGCACCGCAAACAAGCUUUGUUAUAACAACUUAUUGACUUCUAGUGUGACGUUUAUGGAGGUUUUAGGGGUUUAAUACCGCUACUUAGAGGUAGCUAACUAAACAAAUCUGCAACUUCUCACCUUCACA